rnacentral:rRNA from 1 species
AUGGCUCGUGCCACCUCCGCAGCGCUGGCGCUGCUCAUCUUCCUCCUCUGCCGGCACGCCCACGCUGACGCGGCCACGACGCUGUCGCAAGGGCAGUCGCUGGCGGGCAACGACAAGCUCCUAUCGGCCAACGGCGCCUUCUCGCUCUCCUUCUUCUCGCCGCGCGGCGGCGACGGCUCGCGGGUGUACCUGGGCGUCAUGUUCGCCAGGGCCGCGGAGCCGACCGUGCCGUGGGUGGCCAACCGCGACGCGCCGGUGCGCGCCGCGGCCCCGUCCUACUCCGCCACCGUCACCGACUCCGGGGACCUCCGGGUGCUGGAGGGGGAGCGCGUCGUGUGGCGGACCAACACGACCUCGUCGGCGGGGAACUUCACGCUGACGAUCCAGGACACGGGGAACCUCGUGCUCGCCGGCGGCGGCGGCGCGCAGGCGGUGCACCUGUGGCAGAGCUUCGACCACCCGGCGGACACCUUCCUCCCCGGGAUGAACAUUACGCUGGCCCGGCGAAACGGCGCCGUCGUCAGGCAGACGCUGUUCCGGUCGUGGAGGAGCCCCGACGACCCGGCCCCCGGCAACUUCACGCUCGGGCAGGACCCGCUGGGCUCGGCGCAGCUCUUCAUAUGGCGCCGGAGCGAGGACGGCAGGGACGUGACGCACUGGAGGUCCGGGCAGUGGGCCAAGGGUAGCUUCGUGGGCAUCCCGUACCGGCCGCUCAACCUCUACGGCUUCCAGCUCUCCGGCGACCCGUCCCAGACCAACGGCCUGUUCUACACCUUCCAGCGCUUCAACUCCUCGCAGUACAGGUUCGUGCUCCAGCCCAACGGCACCGAGACGUGCUACCAGCUCGUGGACGCCACCGGCGCCUGGGAGGUCGUCUGGUCGCAGCCGACGCUGCCGUGCCAGGCCUACAACACGUGCGGCCCGAACGCCGAGUGCUCCGCCGCCGACCACUGCUCCUGCCUCAAAGGUUUCGAGCCGAAAUCCGAAGCGGAGUACAGCAACGGGGUGUGGACGCAGGGGUGCGUGAGGAGCAGCCAGCUGACGUGCAGCGAGAGGAACGUGAGCAUGAGCGGCGGCGACGGGUUCGCCGUCCUCACCGGCGUGAAGCUGCCGGACCUGGCGGCGUGGGAGUCGGCGGUCAUCAGCGCGGACGCGUGCAGGCAGUGGUGCCUGGCCAACUGCACGUGCAACGCGUACAGCUACAGCGGCGGCACCGGGUGCCUGACCUGGGCCCGGGAGCUGGUGGACGUCUACCAGUUCCCCGCCGGACAGUUCCCCAACGGACAAGGAUUUGACCUGCACAUCAAGGGCCCGGCUUCUCUAUUAGAUUCAGGCUCCAAACGAAGGACAAGGAUUAUCAUUAGCGUAGUAAUCGUCCUGGCGGUUGUACUGGCCGCAUGCGGCUUUCUCCUGUGGAAAUGCAGAAGAAGAAUCACAGAGAAACUCGGCGUCCGUGGCGGGAAAAAGAGGACGGGAGCCGCACUGAUGCUGCGCCCUUCCACGAUGAAAGCCAAGCACGACUUCUCAGGGCCGAAGCAGCCCGAUCAGGAGGUGGCGGAGAACGGCGACGGCUGCGAGCUGCCGAUGUUCACCCUGGAGACCCUGGCGGCGGCCACCGGCGGCUUCAGCGAGGCCAACAAGCUCGGGGAAGGAGGGUUCGGCCUCGUGUACAAGGGCAGCCUCCCAGGCGGCGAGGAGGUGGCGGUGAAGCGGCUGUCCAGGAGCUCCGGGCAGGGGUGCCAGGAGUUCAAGAACGAGGUGACACUCAUCUCCGAGCUGCAGCACCGCAACCUGGUCAGGAUCCUGGGCUGCUGCAUCCAUGGCCACGAGAAGAUGCUGGUCUACGAGUACAUGCCCAACAAGAGCCUCGACGCCUUCCUCUUCGAUCCGGCGAGGCGGGGGCUGCUGGACUGGAAGACGAGGCUGCACAUCAUCGAAGGGAUCGCGCGGGGGCUGCUGUACCUCCACCGGGACUCGAGGCUCCGCGUGGUGCACCGCGACCUCAAGGCCAGCAACAUCCUCCUGGACCACGAGAUGAACCCCAAGAUAUCCGACUUCGGCAUGGCCAGGAUCUUCGGCGGCGAUAAGAACCAGGAGAACACCAACCGCGUCGUCGGCACACUAGGCUACAUGUCGCCGGAGUACGCGAUGGAGGGCCUGUUCUCGGUGAGGUCCGACGUGUACAGCUUCGGCAUCCUCAUCCUGGAGAUCAUCACCGGCCAGAAGAACAGCAGCUUCCACAACAUGGAGGGCUCGCUCAACAUCGUAGGCUACGCGUGGCAGAUGUGGAACUCGGACAAGGGGGAGCAGCUGAUCGACCCGUUGAUCCGGGCAUCGAGCUCGGCGUCGGCGUCGCGCGAGGCGCUUCGGUGCGUCCACAUGGCGCUGCUGUGCGUGCAGGACCACGCCGGAGACCGGCCGGACAUCCCGUACGUGGUGCUGGCGCUGGGCAGCGACAGCUCCGUGCUGCCGAUGCCCAGGCCGCCCACCUUCACGCUGCAGUGCACGUCCUCGGACAGGGACAGGUUCAGGGGGAAGGCCGGCGACGAGUCCUACUCCGCCUGCGACCUCACCGUCACCAUGCUUCAAGGGAGGUAG